GCGCCCGGCACAUUGCAUUUGGAUGCCAGAUGAACUUUGAUAAGAGUUAAUGAGAAAGUAGCAUUGUGCUGUGAGGACAGAAUGGCCCUGGCUGCUCUUAAGGACCCCCUCACCACAAGAUGGAGAGAAAAGAACUGCCCAGUAUACCUACGGUUUCAUCUCAAAAAGGCGUCCUCCGUCCUCAGAAUCUACAGCACCUAAUCUGAAUGGGACCUCUACCCACACUCUUUAUAAGAGUCACAAUGUCUUUAUGGAAAUUGAGAACAUUUCAGAAUGUCCAUGAGCCUCUACUGUGAAGAUAAUGGAUUUGACCUGCUGUUUACUUCAUCCCAAUAAAGUCUUCCUUAGCAUUUGAUUUAUGAACACUUAAUGUCCUCAAGGAGGAUACGAAAUAAUCGUCAAGCUCCGAUCAAAUCAAAGUAAAUAAAAUCAGAUGCAAGCA